rnacentral:rRNA from 1 species
UACGUAGGUGGCGAACGUUAUCCGGAAUAACUGGGCGUAAAGGGUCCGUAGGCGGCCUUGAAGGUCUGGCGUGAAAGCCCUCGGCUAAACUGAGGGAGUGCGUUGGAAACCGCGAGGCUAGCAUCACGCAGGGGCUGGUGGAAUUCCCGGUGUAGUGGUGGAAUGCGUAGAGAUCGGGAGGAACCUCUAGAGCGAAGGCAACCGGCUAGGCGAUGAUGGACGCUGAGGGACGAAAGCGUGGGGAGCGAACAGG